CCGGCACGGUGAGUAACGCGUAUGCAACUUGCCUAUCAGAGGGGGAUAACCCGGCGAAAGUCGGACUAAUACCGCAUGAAGCAGGGAUCCCGCAUGGGAAUAUUUGCUAAAGAUUCAUCGCUGAUAGAUAGGCAUGCGUUCCAUUAGGCAGUUGGCGGGGUAACGGCCCACCAAACCGACGAUGGAUAGGGGUUCUGAGAGGAAGGUCCCCCACAUUGGUACUGAGACACGGACCAA
rnacentral:rRNA from 1 species